rnacentral:lncRNA from 1 species
CAUAUAGAAAAACCCCUCCACUUAAGGGUGGCAAUUCAGCUCGAUGUUCGCGAGCCAGCUUGUGUUCGACUCAAAAUGAGCUCGAGAUUGAAUUACUCGUUUAGUAAACGAGCCGAAUACAAGCUAACUUUUUCAACUCAGUUUAAUAAACGAGCCGAACAUGAGUUGGGGUCAGCUCGCUCGUGUUCGGCUCGAUAACAACUUGAAUACAUAUGUUUUAUAUUUAAAUAAUUUAUAUAUUUUAUAUUAUUAUGUAUAAAUAAAUAAUUAUAUAGAAAAAGUAUAGAUUAUUAUUAUUUGAUUUUAGCCUAACCUAUAUAUUAAGCACAACGCAAUUAUAAAAAAGGUCAUUUAUAUGUAAAGUUUCAACUAUUAGAUCAAAGUCUAAUGGGUCGGAUUUUAUAAAUUAGUUCCUGUAUAUAUAUUCUUUCCAAUUCUUUUCACUUGCUGUCCAUGAGCUAGCUCGUAUUCGGCUCGUUAAUAAACGAGCUGAACACGAACUGAAUUUUUCGACUCGAUACUUUGACGAGCCAGCUCGUGUUUAUGAUAUGAGCCGAACAAGACACUACAACAGAAUUAGGUUAUAGGGACACAUGUUUGGGACACUUUUGAGUAAGUGUCCCAUUUAUGCUAAAACUUAAAAAAAUAUCUGCUAAUGCCUAAAUAUAAAGCCCAAUCCAACCAAAAAUAAAAGAUUACUCUACUCAACCCACCACACCCAGUCCAUUUGGCCCGAUUAGCCUACUGUGCUCAACUAAUUGGGUGGGCCAAGUAAUAAAUAGGAG